rnacentral:misc_RNA from 1 species
GAAAAUUUGUUUUCGUCAGUAAUUACCAACAAAAAAUUUUAUCGGUAAAUAGUCGGUAAUUUAUAAGAGUAAAAUCUCCUACGAAAUUACCUACAAAAAAAUUUAAAUUUACCUACAAAAUAAUUUGUCGGUAAAUUUAGCGACAACAUUUUUUUCGUCGGUAAAAAUUACCUACACUAAUAUUUGUGGACGAAAAAAUUUCGUCGGUAAUUCGUCGGUAAUCACUGAUUACCUACGAAAUUUCAGUAUAUUUGUUCGGUAAUUUUUGUAGCUAUUUUUUUAAUUUCUUGUAGUGUUUAAGACAAAAAAAAGCAUGUUAUGCAUUCAAAAGUUAUUUACUUUUAAAAUUGUACUAUAGCUUUUAAAAUUGUACUAUAACUUUUUAAUAAUGAAUUUUAUUAAGACAAAAUGGUAUAAAUAUGUGUGUGAU